rnacentral:miRNA from 14 species
GUGUGUGUGUGUGUCUGUGUGUGUGUGUGUGUGUGUGUGUGUGUGUGNCACACACACACACACACACACACACACACACACACAAACACACAC